rnacentral:tRNA from 1 species
GCCCGGCUAGCUCAAUCGGUAGAGCGUGAGACUCUUAAAGGAGUUACUCCGUAAUCUCAAGGUUGUGGGUUCGACCCCCACGUCGGGCU